rnacentral:rRNA from 1 species
AUUGAACGCUGGCGGCAUGCCUUACACAUGCAAGUCGAACGGCAGCAUGGGUGCUUGCACCUGAUGGCGAGUGGCGAACGGGUGAGUAAUGCAUCGGAACGUACCCGGAAGUGGGGGAUAACGUAGCGAAAGUUACGCUAAUACCGCAUAUUCUGUGAGCAGGAAAGCGGGGGAUCGCAAGACCUCGCGCUUCCGGAGCGGCCGAUGUCGGAUUAGCUAGUUGGCGGGGUAAAGGCCCACCAAGGCGACGAUCCGUAGCGGGUCUGAGAGGAUGAUCCGCCACACUGGGACUGAGACACGGCCCAGACUCCUACGGGAGGCAGCAGUGGGGAAUUUUGGACAAUGGGGGCAACCCUGAUCCAGCCAUGCCGCGUGAGUGAAGAAGGCCUUCGGGUUGUAAAGCUCUUUCGGCCGGGAAGAAAUCGCAUCUCCUAAUACGGGGUGUGGAUGACGGUACCGGAAUAAGAAGCACCGGCUAACUACGUGCCAGCCGCCGCCGUAA